UGAGUAACACGUAUGCAACCUGCCUGUAAGCGGGGAAGUAACCCGUUGAAAGACGGACUAAUACCGCAUAAUACUAAAUUACUGCAUGGUAAUUUAUUUAAACAUUUAUGGCUUACAGAUGGGCAUGCGCAUGAUUAGCUAGUUGGAGAGGUAACGGCUCCCCAAGGCAACGAUCAUUAGGGGUUCUGAGAGGAAGGUCCCCCCACACUGGUACUGAGACACGGACCAGACUCCUACGGGAGGCAGCAGUGAGGAAUAUUGGUCAAUGGACGAGAGUCUGAACCAGCCAAGUCGCGUGCAGGAAGAAUUGUCCUAUGGAUUGUAAACUGCUUUUGCAGGGGAAUAAAGUGCAUCACGUGUGAUGUUUUGUAUGUACUCUGCGAAUAAGGAUCGGCUAACUCCGUGCCAGCCGCGGC
rnacentral:rRNA from 1 species